rnacentral:rRNA from 1 species
AUGGAGACGGGCGGCGGCCAGAGCGCCAAGAAGCAGAGGCUGGAUCUGGUGCUGGCCAGCCCGGCCCCGGUGAAGCAAGAGAUGCUCGUGCUCAUGCACGAGGCGGGCGAGAUCGUGCCGGCGAUACAGGCCCCGACCAAGGAGGCCCAUCUGGGCCUCACCGUUCUGCAGUGCCACUUCUGCUCCCGCCCCUUGAAGCCGCCCGUCCACCAGUGUAAUGCUGGGCACCUGGCAUGCGGCGACUGCCGCGGCGAGCGCCCCGGUAAUGAGCGGCAGUGUCAGAAGUGCGAACGUGGCGGUGGUUUCGACGUCCAUAACACGGCGAUGGACGCCGUGGUCUCCGCGGCCACGGUAGAGUGCGCACACGACGGCUGCGGGCUCUUCAUCACCUACCACAAGCUCCAAGACCACCAGGACGCGUGCCCGUUCGCGCCUUGCAAGUGCCCCGUUCCCGGCUGCGGCUUUGAAGGCCCGCCGCAGACGCUCCCCCACCACCUCACCGAUGUCCACCCCAUGCCCGUGCAGACGAUCCAGUAUGGCAAGGUUCUUCAGCUGCAGGUGCCGGUGUCGGAGCCGCGGCGCCUGCUGUUCGCGGAGGAGGACGAGCGUGUGUUCCUCGUGGUCGGCGGCGCUCUCGGUCCAAGCGCACCUAUCGCUGUGUCGGUUGUGUGCAUCAGGGCGGGGGCCUCCCCGCCGCCGCACUACACGGCCAAGGUGUGGGUGAAUGGGCCGCCGUCGGCGGUUAACGGCAGGGUCAACACUGUCAGGGCUGAAAUCGAGGUGACGAGCACCAAGGAGCCCGACGUCCUCGUCGUGGAGGAGCUGAUGACCUUCUUGGCGGUGCCGCCCAAGAUGCUUGCUUGGGAUGGGCCGUCCAGGUCCAGGAUGGUUUGGCUCCGCAUUCGUAUUGACAAGACCUCAUCCUAA